GACGUAGGGCGCAAGCGUUGUCCGGAAUUAUUGGGCGUAAAGAGCUCGUAGGCGGUCUGUUGCGUCCGCUGUGAAAACUCGGGGCUUAACCCCGAGCCUGCAGUGGAUACGGGCAGACUAGAGGUAGGUAGGGGAGAAUGGAAUUCCCGGUGUAGCGGUGAAAUGCGCAGAUAUCGGGAGGAACACCGGUGGCGAAGGCGGUUCUCUGGGCCUUACCUGACGCUGAGGAGCGAAGGUCAGGGGAGCAAACGGG
rnacentral:rRNA from 1 species